CGUUCAUGAGAGCAUUUAUAUAAUAACUCCUUAAAUCGUUCUUAUGCAUUAUACAAUGACUCAUAAUUGUAUUGUUAAAAUGUAUUAAUUUCAUUUAUGAGUUG
rfam:Gossypium hirsutum cultivar TM-1 chromosome 1, whole genome shotgun sequence